rfam:Selaginella moellendorffii unplaced genomic scaffold SELMOscaffold_43, whole genome shotgun sequence.
AUACUUACCUGGAGGGUCUUGGUGAUCAUGAAGGCCAAUGGCCUGUUGGCCGGCCUACCAUCUUCCCAAAGUGGAGGAGUGGAUGUCGUAAUUUGUGGGAGUUGAGGGCUCGCAUAUGCGUGGCCCUCUC